AAAGUCAUAAAAGAGCGGAGUAGUCUAUGAAAAUUGAAAGAUACUUGUGAAGGAAAAAAUAUAUAAAAAAAGUAAAAAUCAGGUGUGUGUCUCCCCUGCAACCGCCGGAGUGCUGCCGCCGAGAAGGUGGCGUGGUUAGGUCCUGGUCCGGGUGGAGGUGGAGCUUGGCGAAGACGAUGGAUUGGUUCAUCGAACCGGGGAGGUAAGCCUGACAACAUGAGCACGACGUUGAUGAUGGAUUUGAAAUGGCUUGAACCGCUGCUCCCCGAGCCAACCUCGUGCGCACUCAGCUUCAGUGAAAAAGAGCCACCGUCAAGGGCCGGAUCCAGCAUCGGAAGGAGGUAAAGCGAGGUGGAGCUUGCAGAGCGAGCGUUGACGAUGGAUUUGAGGAUCGAGAUCGUUUGACUACUCGCGUCUUCAAUCAAGGAUUAAUCGUGCACCGCGUGGUUGACAGGCUUCUAGAUAAGCCAGGAGGGAUUUGAUUUGAGGUUCUUGUUAAGCCUCCGGAGCAACGAGGUGGAUAGGGAUGAUGGCGGCGUUGACCCCGCCGUUGCUUGAUUUAUUUGACAGCCAUGAGCUCAUGCCCAACCCCGCUCAGAUUGGUGACUUUGAGGUGAAUGUGUCAAGGGACAUUUCUAGUCCAAAUGCUCUAAAUCCUGCUAUGUAUCCAAAAGUCCUGCCAACUCAAGCACCACCAAUUCCAAGCAAGCCAAUGUCUGAAUUAAGUCCUUCACCUCCAGCUUUGCCACAGAAAGCGUGUCAUACACAUUCAAGUCGAUGUGUAAAUGUCCCAUCUGCAGAAGACAUGAAGACAGCUGGAUGAGGACUUCCAGAGUUUAAAAAUGUGGUUGGUUUCUAGGCUGAACACAGAAACAAUAGAUGUAAAAGGUAACCCAACAGCAGUUUAUCAGAUGUUUCAUCAAGUUGUCCUCUUGUGUGCUUGUGCUGAUAUUCCUCUGCCGAAACAAUGAGAAAUACUAUCUCCUGACUAUCAAGCAUUUCAUAGACAACAAGGAGACAUGACCAAAGAAGGCUGGUCAUUGACUGCUUUGGCAAUAAAUGGUUAAUUAGGCUCUUAAAAUCCGCUGUCAAGAUGGAGGUAGCCUCAAUGACAUGCGGAAUUAUAGUCAUCCUCAGCCCAUGUGCAUUGAGGCUCAUGUGAUCCAUUUAUGGGUUGAGCUUCAACUGUGAAGCUGAAUUAGAUGAUACAGUUGAACCUUUACAGCCAAUGCAAAGGACUAUUUGUAAGCCAUGAUUUGUUAAUGCAUGUGCUGGAAUUUUUAUGUAUUUAUUUAUUUACUUAUGCUAAGAUUAUGAAUUGUUAUUUUUUUUUCA